CUGAGGGUCAGUCCAGACAGGACCCAGCAUGGACAUGAGGGCCCCUGCUCAGCUCCUCAGCCUCCUGCUGCUCUGGCUCCCAGGGGUCAAGUGUGCCAUCCAGAUGACCCAGUCUCCAUCCUCCGUGUCUGCAUCUCCGGGAGACAGAGUCACCAUCUCCUGCCGGGCCAGUCAGGGUAUUAGCAGUUAUUUAAACUGGUAUCAGCAGAAUCCAGGGAAAGCUCCUAAGCUCCUCAUCUAUGGUGCAUCCAAUUUGCAAACUGGGGUCCCAUCCCGCUUCAGUGGCAGUGGAUCUGGGACUGAUUAUUCUCUCACCAUCAGCAGCCUGGAGCCUGAAGAUGUUGCCACUUACUACUGUCUUCACAGUUACAGUUCUCCUCCCACAGUGACACAAGCCUGAACAAAAACCACCCAGGGAGCAGCUGUGUGAGGCUGGGCAGCCCAGCUGCUUUCCAUGCUGCUUCUAUCUGCUGAGAGCACAUCUCAGAUGGAGUCUCACUUCGAAGGACUGAAGGGUCUGGUAGAAGGAGAAGGUGGUUCUUUGUCCCUAACUCUCUUUUCCCUCCUUGCCCAGCAGCACAGAGAAAACAAUGUCUCUGUGAAUUCAAUAAAGACAGAGCUGAUGACAC